rnacentral:rRNA from 1 species
UACGGGGGGGGCAAGCGUUGUUCGGAAUUAUUGGGCGUAAAGGGCGCGUAGGCGGCUUGGCAAGUCAAAGGUGAAAUCCCUCGGCUCAACUGAGGAACUGCCUUUGAAACUGCCUGGCUUGAGGCCGGGAGGGGGUAGCGGAAUUCCCAGUGUAGCGGUGAAAUGCGUAGAUAUUGGGAGGAACACCAGUGGCGAAGGCGGCUACCUGGACCGGUUCUGACGCUGAUGCGCGAAAGCGUGGGUAGCAAACAGG